UUCGCCCUUAGAGUUUGCUUUUGGCUCAGGAUGAACGCUGGCGGCGUGCUUAACACAUGCAAGUCGAACGGAGUACCCUUGAAGGAGUUUUCGGACAACUGAAAGGACUACUUAGUGGCGGACGGGUGAGUAACGCGUGAGUAACCUGCCUUGGAGUGGGGAAUAACAGCUGGAAACAGCUGCUAAUACCGCAUGAUGCAGUUGAGUCGCAUGGCUCUGACUGCCAAAGAUUUAUCGCUCUGAGAUGGACUCGCGUCUGAUUAGCUAGUUGGUGGGGCAACGGCCCACCAAGGCGACGAUCAGUAGCCGGACUGAGAGGUUGGCCGGCCACAUUGGGACUGAGACACGGCCCAGACUCCUACGGGAGGCAGCAGUGGGGAAUAUUGGGCAAUGGGCGCAAGCCUGACCCAGCAACGCCGCGUGAAGGAAGAAGGCUUUCGGGUUGUAAACUUCUUUUCUCAGGGACGAAGAAAGUGACGGUACCUGAGGAAUAAGCCACGGCUAACUACGUGCCAGCAGCCGCGGUAAUACGUAGGUGGCAAGCGUUAUCCGGAUUUACUGGGUGUAAAGGGCGUGUAGGCGGGAUAGCAAGUCAGAUGUGAAAACCAUGGGUUCAACCUGUGGCCUGCAUUUGAAACUGUUUUUCUUGAGUACUGGAGAGGCAGACGGAAUUCCUAGUGUAGCGGUGAAAUGCGUAGAUAUUAGGAGGAACACCAGUGGCGAAGGCGGUCUGCUGGACAGCAACUGACGCUGAGGCGCGAAAGCGUGGGGAGCAAACAGAAUUAGAUACCCUGGUAGUCCACGCUGUAAACGAUCGAUAAAGGGUGUGGGGGGACUGACCCCCUCCCGUGCCGCAGUUAACACAAUAAGUAUCCCACCUGGGGAGUACGAUCGCAAGGUUGAAACUCAAAGGAAUUGACGGGGGCCCGCACAAGCGGUGGAGUAUGUGGUUUAAUUCGAAGCAACGCGAAGAACCUUACCAGGGCUUGACAUCCCGGUGACCGCGCUAGAGAUAGCGUUUUCCCUUCGGGGACACUGGUGACAGGUGGUGCAUGGUUGUCGUCAGCUCGUGUCGUGAGAUGUUGGGUUAAGUCCCGCAACGAGCGCAACCCUUAUUGUUAGUUGCUACGCAAGAGCACUCUAGCGAGACUGCCGUUGACAAAACGGAGGAAGGUGGGGACGACGUCAAAUCAUCAUGCCCCUUAUGUCCUGGGCCACACACGUACUACAAUGGUGGUCAACAGAGGGAAGCAAUACCGCGAGGUGGAGCAAAUCCCUAAAAGCCAUCCCAGUUCGGAUCGCAGGCUGCAACCCGCCUGCGUGAAGUUGGAAUCGCUAGUAAUCGCGGAUCAGCAUGCCGCGGUGAAUACGUUCCCGGGCCUUGCACUCACCGCCCGUCA
rnacentral:rRNA from 1 species